UGUCUGCUUCGGUUGCUCUCCGAGGACCUUUAUUUUAAAACCACGGAAGAGAAGCAUCCAGGAAAUGCUUCACCAUGAGACGGAGGUACAUGCCAGUCCCCGAGCAUUGUGAGUCAGGGGGCCGGGGAGAAUCGGUUUUAGAAAAUUGUUACUUCUUUAUACCAGAGUGGGACAAAAUAGAGGAUACCCUUCUUUGCUUAAUGAUUUCUAGCUCCUUCUCUGUAGCCCCCACUGGACCAGUGCUGUCUGGUUCAGCCCAGUUUCCUUUGCCUUCCAUUCCAUUCCACAGAUACAGCCGAGCCCUCUAAAUGGGAAGGCUAAAAGAGGUUUCAGUGGGGAAGUCCAGCCGUGUUCAGCGGCACCACCGUGCCACGACCAGCAUCACAGGCUCUGAGCCGGAUGCCUGGGACAGAGAUGACAAAACCACAGUCCCUGCCCAUGAGGACAUCAGUAAAAUGGAGGAGUCCUCCAUGUGCCAAAUACUGCAAUACCAUAUUCCAUGUGUAGCCAUAGCAAGCUAUAAGAGUACCCCCACCAUCACCCCUCCUUCAGUGCUCAGACUUCCCCAUCAGACCCUUUGGUUCAUGUCCCCAACUUCUCCCAACGUAAACUUCAGUCUCCAAUCCUGUCGUCAUCUUCUUAAGGAGCACAGCACGCUCCCUCUCUGUUGCCAGAGGAGCACCUAUCAUGUGCCAUGACACAUGCAUCGUGCUGGAUGCCUGGCGUGCAUUAUUUAUUCCCCAGAAUUCCUCAAGGAAGGUGCUAUCACCCCUCAUUUUGCAGACGAGGAAGGUGAGGCAGAGCAUAGUCAGUGACACCCUCACGGUCCAAGUUCCAGAAUGUGAGACAAAGUCUGUCUGGACUCCAUGUUUCUUUCCAAAGUACCAUGUUGCUCCUCAUUCCGUCAGCCCCAGAAAGCACUUGGGCUUCCUGCCAAAGUUGUUCUUUCACCGCCCCUCUCUUACCGGCUCAUUUCGUGUCCCGUCAGCUUCUUCCUUAAGAAUCCCAUCUCUCUCUCCUCUAUGAGGCACGGGAAAUGGCCCCUCUCCCAGGACUGCUUCCAGCCUCUGCCCUUCUCAUGUGUCAGACCAAAUGCCCCAACACUUCUCUGCCCUCUCCCAGCUGCUCCCUCUUGCUUGGUCCCCUCUCCGUCUCCCUGCAUUUUCCCAAGCAUCUCCCUCAGCCCCAGCCCUCCAGCAGCAUCAUCAACCCCAGCCACCAGCCAGCCCCUUCCUCUCCGAUUCAGGAGAGGAAGCGUGCCUGGGCUGGCUGGUGGCCGGGGCGUGUCCUGGCAUGCUUAUUAAUAGCCCCCGUUCACCCCCCAAAGUGUCUCUGCUUGCAUGAUCAAUGUCUUCACCCAGGCUGGACAGGAGAGGGAACGUGAAUUUAAGCCCCUUGGAUCUAAAUUGAAAAUACUUUUCAGUUUGUCCCCACAUUUUACCCAUCUAAUGUUCUUAUUUCCUUUUAUGCAUCCUGUAAUCUAGCAUAUUUCCCUGGGCCCUGAUUUUUAGCUACUGUGGCAACACUCUUCUUGGGGAGCAUUUGGGGCCUCACUGGCACGUAGAACUCUGUCUCGCCAGAGAGCCAGGCAUCUUGCCCCACCUUGCUGGCAUGCCCCCUUCUGCACACAAGCAGCACUGUGCUGGUUGGUGGAAGAGGCAAAGACCCCAGAGUCACGCGGAGUUUAGAUUCAUCCCCUCAGCAAAUAUUCCCUGGACACCUAGUAUGUGCCUGGUAUCGGGCACCUCCUAUUCUGAGCACUGGGGACACAGUCGUGGCCAAAACAGAUAGAGCCCUGGCCUCAAAGAGCUGACAUUCUAGCAGGAGGGGAGAGACACUCCACAAAUCAGUAUAUGAUGUCAGGUAAUGGUGAGUUCAAGGGAGAAAAAUAAGGCAAAGUAAAAGAGAUGGCAGGCAUGAAAAAAAAAAAUAGCAAGGACCAAGAUCCUGAGACAAGAGCCUGCUUGGUGUAUUUGAGAAAAAACAAGGAGGUUCGUUUAGCCAAAGCAGAGUAAGUAAAGGGAAGAUGUACGAGCUGAGAUCAGAGAGGGAAGGGGCCUGAUCCUGACCCUGGAUCCCUGAAGCGUUUAAACAGAGGAGCCACAGGGUUCUGUUUACCCCGUGCAAGGCUGGCUCCGGACCCUGGGCCCAGAAGACUAUAGGACAAGAAUAGAAGCGGGUCACCUCUUAGGAGUUCACGCUCUCUUCCAGGUGCAAGAUGCUGCUGCCUGGGAUCGGGGUGUCAACAUCAGGGAUGGUGGGAAAUAGUCAUUUUCUGGAUAAAAGAUUGAAUGCAAAGUGUUAAGGAAAGGGAGACAGCAAGGGUGACCUCUAAGGUUGUAGCUGAGCAAGAGGAAGAACAGAGUUGCCAUCUAAUGAGAUAGGGAUCAGGCAGGGGGCAAGGGGGUAGGCUGGGAUGCAGGAGUCAGUUUUGGCUGGCUUACAUUUUAGAUGCCCAUAAGACAUCCAGAUGGACAUGUCAAGCAAGGAGAGAGUCUUCGGCAUGUGGAUGCUGCUGAAAGCUAUAGAACUGAAUGAGAUAAUAACCAAGUGAAUGUGGACAGCCCAGAGAAGCUCUGAGGCCCUCCAAAAUUGGGGAAUAAUAGAGGUGGAGAAGAACCAACGCUCCCACCAUGAGAUAGGAGUGGACCCAAAAGAAAUCGCUGUCCGAGAAAAGAGAUUGCUCUCCCAGAGGCUGAAAAAAGAGAGCAUUCAAAUGGGAAGAGCUGAUCAACCACGUCAACCAAGAGUUGACCAUUGGAUUUGGCAGUAACCUUGAAAGGAACUGUCUCCGUGGAGUGCUGGGAGCAAAAUCUGAGUGAGUGGGUUCAAGAGAAAAUGGAUGAAGGGGAAUUGGAGGCAGGGAGAGACAGCUCUUUUGAAUUCUAUAAAAGAGAACACAGAAAACGAGCUGUAGCAGGAGGGAAACCAGGGUCAAGGGAGGUGUCUUCACUUUUAAAACUUAGAGAUAUAACAGCAUUUUUGUAAGAAGAUGAUUAAAUAGAGAACGGGGAAAUGAUGGUGCUGGAGGGAAAGGGGACAAAUAUUUGGAUCAGUCUCCUUGGCUGUGUUUCAGCACCAAAGAGGAGGGUUUGACCUCAGGGGUGGAAAGACUGAGCGAUGCCCCUCUAGUAUCACACCAGUGGGGGGUGCCUGGCCAAGGUGGUGUUCCCAGAGCCCCUGGUGAACUUGGAGAAUCACUUAUUGUCCAAUUAUCAGAUUCCGUGUUUUAAGUAUUAGCUCACCAUGCCCACCUGAGAUGAUCCUUGGGCACAGUAAAUAAAAUAUGUGGAGAGCACAGUCUUCUCCCAUUGUAGGGGCCCAGUAAAAGCUACCCUUCCUCCCAUGAUUUGCCCUCCAGGGUUUCUCUGGGGACCUCUGAGUCAUCUUGAGAAUCCUGGUUGGUCCUUCCGGCUUAGAGACCAGGGGAGCUGAAGCAGGAGCAGCCACGAGCGGUAGCUCUUCCCAAACACCUCUUCACCACAUUUCCCUCAGAUACUUAGCUGUGAGUUUGAGGAGUUAUUUUUCUAUGGCUAUUUUUCACUGCCAUGCAGCAUCUUGGAGCUGGGUUCUGUAACCCGCCUCCUGCUUGCUGCUAGGAUCUUCAAAGAGCUACUGCCCACUGAGUGGAGCCCAGCCAGGGCCCCCUGCCCUCCCCCAGGGCCACCGUGCAGGACAGCUAGAUGUCUGGCUGCACUUCCAGGGAAGCCCAGCCUGCCCGAGCCUGGGACAGAGGCCAGAAACACAGAGGCGGGAGGUGGAAGUCUCCCUCCUGACACCAGGCAGCCAUGAUGGAAGAGAGUCCCAGACCCAGCAUGCCCCCCGUCUCUUAGCCUAAGCUCUGCACUGCUCCCUUGCCCAGGCAGGGGAUCCAAUGAAUCCUUAACCCAGGAAGACUGGGCUCUUGUCAUGAGGAAAGGGUCAUUUUAACUCCCAUCCACGAACUUCCCAAGGAAGAAAUUUAAAGUUCUGUCAAAACAGGUUAGCAUAUUGGCAGUCAUGGCUCACUACCAUCUGUACUUGUUCCGUUUGUGGCGUUAUGACGGUUACCCACAUUAAUUAUUUCGCUGCUGAAGUCCCUUCUAAUUUCUGAACACUGUUAUUUCUAAGAAAGAUGGAUAUUAAAUAUGCCACACAUCAGCACAGGGUGGCAUUACAGCAUGCUAUUAAGUUCAGAUGCUGAAGCUCUGGCAGAAGAUAACUUUGCUAUUUGUAAUCACAAUAAAGUGUUUUAUAUUGUGGCUCAAAAUGAAGAACACCAUUGAUGGAAACUGAUUUUCAAGUUGCACAGUGACCCUGAAGUCACCAAGAGAGGCAGACACCCUAGGCUGGGGUGGGUGGGCAACCCAAGGACAGAGAUGAGUGGGGACGGGGGACAAGGUGCGCUUGAACCAUGAUUCCCAAGCCUGACCAUACCCACCGCAGACCUACCUGGGGCCCAGGUUCCAGAGAGAGUUCCCAGAGAUUCCAGUUCAGUAGGUCGAGGAGGAGGUGUGACCAACUGUUAGAACAUUCUGUCACUCCCGGUUCCCAUAGCUUCUUGAGUCGGUAUAAAAGAAUUUACAGCAGGGUGAAGAAUGGUGGUACUCCAGAAAACAAUGACCACUUUCAAAGUGCAGAUUACAAACUGCAUUCGCACAUCCACUGUUUCUCUGGACAUCAUGACAGUCUUGGCAGGGAACCUUUAUUAUUAUCAUUACCAGGACAAAACAAGACAUGUGGUCCUCCUCCUAACUCCCAACCCCACUCCACCCCACAAAAGAUACCAGUUGGUUAAACAACUAAAACACCAAGAAGGUGGUCUUGAAGGUGAUGUCCGACAUGAGGACCCACGGUAAGCAAAGAAAGCUGUUUGUUUAAAAGCAACAUUUGAGACUCCCAUCUGACUGGACUUCGGUAGGAUUAAAUGCUUCUUCUUCAAGAUCCCUUCCUGCUCAAGCAUGUGUCUAUCCUCUCACUUGUUCAUUCAUUUAUCAGAAAUGUACUGCACGCCUACAAUGCCAGCCCUGGGCCAACAGAAGGGAAUGAAACAGACACAGCCUUGCUUUCCAAGGGAGGCGGACAGAACCAGAGUAGACAAAUAAGUCGUGAGCACAAGUUGAGCAAAGGGAGCAAAACAGAUACUGAUGGAGAAAUUAACAGCUUCCCUUAUCGUAAGAACACGGUAUGCAGUAGAUACGACGUACAAAAUCUGUGCGAAUCCAGUUUAUGCUGUCGGCAAGGCGUCUGGUCCACAUGUGAAAAAGUGUGUCAGCCACACCCACUGUGUACAGAAGAGGGUACGGCUGUGUUCCAGUGAAACUUCGCUGACAAAAGAGGCAGGCGGCUGUAUUCGGCUCCCAGGCCAUGGUUGGCCCUCCCCUGCUCUAGCCGGACUGGCCUCUAAGGUCCUCAGAGAUGCCAUACGUCCUCCUGCCUGCCCUGUCCACGUGCUGCUCCCUGCCCCGCUCACCACCUCAGCUCCAGGAAGCCUCCCCCACGCCCUUGGCCAGAGGGAUCCUCCUAUCUGCCCCCCAGUGGGCCCACACACCCCGUACUGUCCUUCAGAACACUUCUCACGCUGGUAAUCGCAUAAUGAAUUGUGUAAUUGGUUGUCUAAUGUCUGUCUCCCU